rnacentral:rRNA from 1 species
AGUGAACGCUGGCGGUAGGCCUAACACAUGCAAGUCGAACGGCAGCACAGUAAGAGCUUGCUCUUACGGGUGGCGAGUGGCGGACGGGUGAGGAAUACAUCGGAAUCUACUUUUUCGUGGGGGAUAACGUAGGGAAACUUACGCUAAUACCGCAUACGACCUACGGGUGAAAGCAGGGGAUCUUCGGACCUUGCGCGAUUGAAUGAGCCGAUGUCGGAUUAGCUAGUUGGCGGGGUAAAGGCCAACCAAGGCGGCGAUCCGUAGCUGGUCUGAGAGGAUGGUAGGCCACACGGGAACUGAGACACGGUCCAGACUCCUACGGGAGGCAGCAGUGGGGAAUAUUGGACAGAGGGCGCAAGCCUUAUCCAGCCAUACCGCGUGGGUGAAGAAGGCCUUCGGGUUGUAAAGCCCUUUUGUUGGGAAAGAAAAGCAGCAGGUUAAUACCCCGCUGUUCUGACGGUACCCAAAGAAUAAGCACCGGCUAACUUCGUG